rnacentral:rRNA from 1 species
AUUGAACGCUGGCGGCAGGCUUAACACAUGCAAGUCGAGCGGGGGCUUCGGUCCUAGCGGCGAACGGGUGAGGAAUGCUUGGGAAUCUGCCCAGUAGCGGGGGAUAACGUUUCGAAAGGAACGCUAAUACCGCAUACGCCCUACGGGGGAAAGGGGGGGAUCUUCGGACCUCUCACUAUUGGAUGAGCCCAAGUCGGAUUAGCUAGUUGGUGGGGUAAAGGCCUACCAAGGCGACGAUCCGUAGCUGGUCUGAGAGGAUGAUCAGCCACACUGGAACUGAGACACGGUCCAGACUCCUACGGGAGGCAGCAGUGGGGAAUAUUGGACAAUGGGCGAAAGCCUGAUUCAGCCAUGCCGCGUGUGUGAAGAAGGCCUUCGGGUUGUAAAGCACUUUAAGCGAGGAGGAAUGGCUGAGGGUUAAUAACCUUCAGCAGUGACGUUACUCGCAGAAUAAGCACCGGCUAACUCUGUGCCAGCCGCCGCCGUAAUAC